UAAACCUAAUGCAUGCUUUUAAAACAAUUUUUUUUUAAGAUUUUUGAAUUUCUCAUCUUGCCAAACUGUUUUUGUCACCGACCCAUCUAUAUUUUGGACCAAUUUCAGAUAAUCUUCAAUACUAAUCUACUGAAGACACAAUGUCAUCUACAUAUUGGAUGGUUUGAGGCAUUUUUGGAAAUGUCUUCAAUACGUGUCUGUGCACCUCUUAUGCAAGUUUUCGAGAAUGCUGAGGCCGAAACACUCGCACAGCUUUGCGACAUGUGACUGGAUUAUAUGUUGGAAAAAACUUCACCAGGGAUCAAAGACAACAGUGGGGUUCGGUGUUGGUGUUCCAAACUCUGCAUACCCUACUGUUAGCUGACCUACAGCAAACAAAGCCUGGGAACAAAGCGUCUGUUUACGUGCCUAGACACUCAAAACCUCCAGAGUUCUCAUUUCACCUCCGAAGCACGGACAACAUGCUUUACAUGAUAAUGACAGAACCGAGGUUUUAGACUUUCUUCAGCGGCCUGCAUUUGGCAUCCCGUGAAUUGCGAAGGGACUUUUGUGACAUUGAACAGGCAUUUCUUGCAGCUCUCUUAAGGCAGAAGAAAAUAGCACAAGCGGAUGGAAUUUAUCAUCAAUGUCGGGAUUUGACAGAUUUAUUAUGUUUAAACUCAUUAGAAUGUGCCAUUUAUAAAAAUUUACGAGAGCACAUUACAUUAAAUAUUAAAAACGAAUCAUGUCA